CGGGGUGUGGCGCAGCCCGGUAGCGCACCUGCUUUGGGAGCAGGGGGUCGGAGGUUCAAAUCCUCUCACCCCGACCA
rnacentral:tRNA from 5 species